rnacentral:tRNA from 1 species
CGGGGUGUAGCGCAGCUUGGUAGCGCAUCCGCUUUGGGAGCGGAGGGCCGCAGGUUCAAAUCCUGUCACCCCGACCA